CGAUGAUUUUCAGGUUUAGCCUACGUCGGUUCAAUUUGAUCCUCCUCGAUCCUUUCCGUACUCUCCUCCGAAAAAUUUCACCGCUGUACGAUCCUAUAAGAAGGCUCCAUGGCCGUCGGCUUCCUCCCCACCUCCGCUGCUUUCUCCCUCUGCAUCCCAAAUUUCCACAUCGCUGCCAUGGCCAACAUCCUCCUCGAGGAUGGUGACGCCACCACGCGCAGCUCGUGAAGCCCGUCCACAUACUCACAGGUGUGCUGCCCCGCCGCCGGCCGCGGCUGCUGCCGCCGCGCUGCUGGAGCGCGUCAAGAAAAUCGGCUUCGGGCCGCCAUGCUGGCCUGCGGGUGGCGCUGCAGUGGGACGACCUGCCCAUCUCGGAGCGCAUGCGCCUCAAGGCCCGGCCCCUCCUCUACCUUCCGUCCCCUGCAUCUCCUCCAUCCCUAAUCGUCCACCGGGGGCAGGAUCCACAACCUAAGCGAGGUUCUUUGGCCGGUGCUAUGGAGCCAUUUCCCUAAUCGAUCAGGUGCUCCCUGCAUUCUCUCUCAGCUGUACCGUGUUUUCAAGGCCACACUGCAGCAGGACUAGCUAGGAGCACCGGUGAGCAACUUGUCGACGAGGUGUGUGGCAGCUUUGACGGCAGCAGCGGCGCAGCAUGUCGUGGUGUUGUUUGCUCACAGCAGCCACCCAGUUUUGCGCUUCUCCGCUGGACGCUGUAGGGGUGCCGUGCCAUAUGGAAGACGGGAAGACGCUCACAUGCCGGUUUGCUGGGUUUGCCGGGAAGCUCAGCCCGACGAGUUUGGGUUCUUCAACCUUCUCCAUGGAUUCAAUGGCAUGAUUUUGUGUAAACGAAAAUCUUGCAAGGAAGAGGUUACGAACCUGAAUGGUAUGGAGGACGUACUACAUGUGUACAUCAAGGGAAAAAAGAGGAGAAACGUGUAUUUGAAUCCAAGAGCCUUGACACCCACUAAUUACUUUGUAGAGUCCUCAAGAUCUAUAUAACUGCCUACAGGUACUUAUUUUCCUAUCUAAGUAGGACCUCCAUCAUUAUAGCCGCCUCCACCUGCACUUCUCCACUUCUUUGCUGUUGCCGAGCACUAGCAUUUUCGGCCAUCAAUUUUGCUCACUGCCGCUCACGGUCCAUAUGCUGCAGCUUCGAGCAUCUUCUUGCAGCAAAAGACAGCAAAGGAAAUGAUGUUGGCUCUGCUGGAUGGAACAAAUUUGAACUUAUGUUCUGCUGAGCAUUCUACUUCUACGUACAUCAAAGUUAUCCACAAUUGACUCGUGAUUUCUCAUCAUAGCUGUGUCCUUCACUGCUCCUUUGUUUUGCUUGAAGUGUUAGAUUUUUGUCAUGGGUGAAUAAAGAGAUUAGAAAAUAGAGGCUCACGCCUCAAGAUGUUUGAUGUUAGGACUAAACAGAAAGGAGAGGACCAUUUUUUUGUUUGGCAAGUUUGCUAGCAUCAAACUGUAUCAAGUUCAGUGACUCAUGUGCAUAUGGUAAGUGUGUUUAAUAGAAUGAUUCGUGCAAAAUCUUA